rnacentral:rRNA from 1 species
UACGUAGGGAGCAAGCGUUGUUCGGAUUUACUGGGCGUAAAGGGCGCGUAGGCGGCAAAUUAAGUCAGCUGUGAAAUCUCCGAGCUUAACUCGGAACUGUCAGCUGAUACUGAUCUGCUAGAGUGCGGAAGGGGCAAUCGGAAUUCUUGGUGUAGCGGUGAAAUGCGUAGAUAUCAAGAGGAACACCUGAGGUGAAGACGGGUUGCUGGGCCGACACUGACGCUGAGUGCGCGAAAGUCAGGGGAGCAAACGGG